AUUGAACGCUGGCGGCAUGCCUUACACAUGCAAGUCGAACGGUAACAGGGAGCUUGCUCCGCUGACGAGUGGCGAACGGGUGAGUAAUGUAUCGGAACGUACCAUUCAGUGGGGGAUAACGUAGCGAAAGUUAACGCUAAUACCGCAUAUUCUGUGAGCAGGAAAGCAGGGGAUCGCAAGACCUUGCGCUGAUUGAGCGGCCGAUAUCAGAUUAGCUAGUUGGUGAGGUAAAGGCUCACCAAGGCGACGAUCUGUAGCGGGUCUGAGAGGAUGAUCCGCCACACUGGAACUGAGACACGGUCCAGACUCCUACGGGAGGCAGCAGUGGGGAAUUUUGGACAAUGGGGGCAACCCUGAUCCAGCCAUGCCGCGUGAGUGAAGAAGGCCUUCGGGUUGUAAAGCUCUUUCGGCCGGGAAAAAAUCGCAUCAGUUAAUACCUGGUGUGGAUGAUGGUACCGGAAUAAGAAGCACCGGCUAACUACGUG
rnacentral:rRNA from 1 species